GACGAACGCUGGCGGCAAGCUUAACACAUGCAAGUCGAACGCCGUAGCAAUACGGAGUGGCAGACGGGUGAGUAACACGUGGGAACGUGCCUUUCGGUUCGGAACAACUGAGGGAAACUUCAGCUAAAACCGGAUACGCCCUUCGGGGGAAAGUUUACUCCGAAAGAUCGGCCCGCGUCUGAUUAGCUAGUUGGUGAGGGAAAGGCUCGCCAAGGCGACGAUCAGUAGCGGGUCUGAGAGGAUGAUCAGCCACAUUGGGACUGAGACACGGCCCAAACCCCUACGGGAGGCAGCAGUGGGGAAUCUUGCGCAAUGGGCGAAAGCCUGACGCAGCCAUGCCGCGUGAAUGAUGAAGGUCUUAGGAUUGUAAAAUUCUUUCACCGGGGACGAUAAUGACGGUACCCGGAGAAGAAGCCCCGUCUAACUUCGUGCCAGCAGCCGCCGUAACAC
rnacentral:rRNA from 1 species